rnacentral:rRNA from 1 species
CCGUAACUAUAACGGUCCUAAGGUAGCGAAAUUCCUUGUCGGGUAAGUUCCGACCUGCACGAAUGGCGUAAUGAUGGCCAGGCUGUCUCCACCCGAGACUCAGUGAAAUUGAACUCGCUGUGAAGAUGCAGUGUACCCGCGGCAAGACGGAAAGACCCCGUGAACCUUUACUAUAGCUUGACACUGAACACUGGUCCUUGAUGUGUAGGAUAGGUGGGAGGCUUUGAAGUGUGGACGCCAGUCUGCAUGGAGCCAUCCUUGAAAUACCACCCUUUAAUGGCUGGUGUUCUAACGUGGGCCCGUAAUCCGGGUUGCGGACAGUGUCUGGUGGGUAGUUUGACUGGGGCGGUCUCCUCCUAAAGAGUAACGGAGGAGCACGAAGGUUAGCUAAUCACGGUCGGACAUCGUGAGGUUAGUGCAAAGGCAUAAGCUAGCUUGACUGCGAGAGUGACGGCUCGAGCAGGUACGAAAGUAGGUCUUAGUGAUCCGGUGGUUCUGAAUGGAAGGGCCAUCGCUCAACGGAUAAAAGGUACUCCGGGGAUAACAGGCUGAUACCGCCCAAGAGUUCAUAUCGACGGCGGUGUUUGGCACCUCGAUGUCGGCUCAUCACAUCCUGGGGCUGAAGUAGGUCCCAAGGGUAUGGCUGUUCGCCAUUUAAAGUGGUACGCGAGCUGGGUUUAGAACGUCGUGAGACAGUUCGGUCCCUAUCUGCCGUGGGCGUUGGAAGAUUGAGAGGGGUUGCUCCUAGUACGAGAGGACCGGAGUGAACGCACCACUGGUGUUCGGGUUGUCAUGCCAAUGGCACUGCCCGGUAGCUAAGUGCGGAAAAGAUAAGCGCUGAAAGCAUCUAAGCGCGAAACUUGCCUCGAGAUGAGUCUUCCCUGGGCCUUUAAGGUCCCUGAAGGAACGUUUAAGACUAAGACGUUGAUAGGCUGGGUGUGUAAGUGCAGCGAUGCAUUGAGCUAACCAGUACUAAUGAUCCGUGAGGCUUAACCUU